rnacentral:rRNA from 1 species
UACGGAGGGUGCGAGCGUUAAUCGGAAUUACUGGGCGUAAAGCGUGCGUAGGCGGCCUGUCAAGUCAGAUGUGAAAGCCCCGGGCCCAACCUGGGAACGGCAUUUGAAACUGGCAGGCUAGAGUUGGGUAGAGGGGGGCGGAAUUCCGGGUGUAGCGGUGAAAUGCGUAGAUAUCCGGAGGAACACCAGUGGCGAAGGCGGCUCCCUGGACCCAAACUGACGCUGAGGUACGAAAGCGUGGGUAGCAAACAGG